rnacentral:rRNA from 1 species
CGCGGCCUAUCAGCUUGUUGGUGAGGUAAUGGCUUACCAAGGCGACGACGGGUAGCCGGCCUGAGAGGGUGACCGGCCACACUGGGACUGAGACACGGCCCAGACUCCUACGGGAGGCAGCAGUGGGGAAUAUUGCACAAUGGGCGCAAGCCUGAUGCAGCGACGCCGCGUGAGGGAUGACGGUCUUCGGGUUGUAAACCUCUUUCAGUAGGGAAGAAGCGAAAGUGACGGUACCUGCAGAAGAAGCGCCGGCUAACUACGUGCCAGCAGCCGCGGUAAUACGUAGGGCGCAAGCGUUAUCCGGAAUUAUUGGGCGUAAAGAGCUCGUAGGCGGUUUGUCGCGUCUGCCGUGAAAGUCCGGGGCUCAACUCCGGAUCUGCGGUGGGUACGGGCAGACUUGAGUGAUGUAGGGGAGACUGGAAUUCCUGGUGUAGCGGUGAAAUGCGCAGAUAUCAGGAGGAACACCGAUGGCGAAGGCAGUGAUCUGGGCCGAUACUGACACUGAGGCGCGAAAGCGUGGGUAGCGAACAGGAUUAGAUACCCUGGUAGUCCACGCCGUAAACGUUGGGCAUUAGGUGUGGGGGACAUUCCACGUUUUCCGCGCCGUAGCUAACGCAUUAAGUGCCCCGCCUGGGGAGUACGG